UGGCCCUUAACUCAAUUGGUUAGAGCAACCGGCUCAUAACCGGGCGGUUCCGGGUUCGAGUCCCGGAGGGCCAA
rnacentral:tRNA from 1 species